rnacentral:sRNA from 1 species
UAGGCCUUGAGCUUGCCGAAGAACCUCUGCUUCUCGUCGGUGGUCUGGAAGCGACCGUGCCCGAACUUGGACGAGGUGUCGAUGAACUUGAGCUUGAUCUCCUCCAGGGCGAGCCGCGAGGUCUGCUUCAGCAGCGACUGGCGGAGGGUGACGACUCUCUUCUUCGGACCGACGCAGCAACCCUUGAUCAUGAGGUAGUCGCCCUUCACCACACCGUAGUGCGGGAAGCCGCCCAUCGGGGUGAUGUCCUUCUCAGUCCUGCAAGGGAGAAAGGCCGCAUGAGACUCCUGACCAGACUUGCCAAUCUUGUAAACCUUCUUGUUCAUC